rnacentral:rRNA from 1 species
AUUGAACGCUGGCGGCAGGCCUAACACAUGCAAGUCGAACGAGUGGCGGACGGGUGAGUAAUGUCUGGGAAACUGCCUGAUGGAGGGGGAUAACUACUGGAAACGGUGGCUAAUACCGCAUACCAUCAGAUGUGCCCAGAUGGGAUUAGCUAGUUGGUGGGGUAAAGGCUCACCAAGGCGACGAUCCCUAGCUGGUCUGAGAGGAUGACCAGCCAAAUGGGAACGUAGACCAGGCCCAGACUCCUACGGGAGGCAGCAGUGGGGAAUAUUGCACAAUGGGCGCAAGCCUGAUGCAGCCAUGCCGCGUGUAUGAAGAAGGCCUUAGGGUUGUAAAGUACUUUCAGCGGGGAGGCGUUACCCGCAGAAGAAGCACCGGCUAACUCCGUGCCAGCAGCCGCGGUAAUAC